AACGAACGCUGGCGGCAGGCUUAACACAUGCAAGUCGAGCGCCCCGCAAGGGGAGCGGCAGACGGGUGAGUAACACGUGGGAACGUGCCCAAAGGUACGGAACAACUCCGGGAAACUGGAGCUAAUACCGUAUGUGCCCUUCGGGGGAAAGAUUUAUCGCCUUUGGAUCGGCCCGCGUCUGAUUAGCUAGUUGGUGGGGUAAUGGCCUACCAAGGCGACGAUCAGUAGCUGGUCUGAGAGGAUGAUCAGCCACACUGGGACUGAGACACGGCCCAGACUCCUACGGGAGGCAGCAGUGGGGAAUAUUGGACAAUGGGCGCAAGCCUGAUCCAGCCAUGCCGCGUGAGUGACGAAGGUCUUAGGACUGUAAAAUUCUUUCACCGGGGACGAUAAUGACGGUACCCGGAGAAGAAGCCCCGGCUAACUUCGUGCCAGCCGCCGCUGUAAUAC
rnacentral:rRNA from 1 species